AUUGAACGCUGGCGGCGUGCUUAACACAUGCAAGUCGAUCGGUAACAGGUGUAGCAAUACAUGCUGACGAGAGGCGGACGGGGGAGGAACGCUUGGGAAUCUGCCUAUCAGCGGGGGACAACACGGGGAAACCCGGGCUAAUACCGCAUACGCUCUACGGAGGAAAGCCGGGGACCGCAAGGCCCGGCACUGAUAGCUGAGCCCAAGUCGGAUCAGCUAGUUGGCGGGGGAACGGCCCACCAAGGCGACGAUCCGUAGCUGGCCUGAGAGGACGAUCAGCCACACCGGAACUGAGACACGGUCCGGACUCCUACGGGAGGCAGCAGUGGGGAAUAUUGGACAAUGGGCGAAAGCCUGAUCCAGCGACGCCGCGUGGGUGAAGAAGGCCUGCGGGUUGUAAAGCCCUUUCGGUAGGGACGAAAGCUCUUGCCCUAACAAGGCAGGAGGUUGACUUAACCUACAUAAGAAGCACCGGCUAACUCUGUGCCAGCAGCCGCCGUAACAC
rnacentral:rRNA from 1 species